UGUAUCUGCAAUUUAAAGAAAAAUGUGGCUAAAAACCUGUCUGCACUGUGUUGGUCGACCUUUUUGUCUCGCUGCUUGCAAAACUUGUGUCUUUAUCUGAGAAGGGUCAGAGACUCUGUGUGUUUUCAGUUCUCUCACAGGGACGUGUGGUGAAGCAGCUCCUCCAAACACUCGUCUGUGCAGUCUGUAGAGACGGGAGAGAAGAGGAUGGAGAGUUUUAACAGCUCAUCUUCCACUUAUACGAAUGAUAUCAAGUUGGCUUUGCUGGUAGCGACGGUGCUGGCAAAGCAGAUGUUGUGGUGAGAUUCCUGACAAAACAAUUUAUUGGACAGUAAUGCUUCCAGUGCCAGUAUUUUUCUGCAGUAGGUUGGAGAAGAAGUUGUUAGAUCAGUUGAUGGACGAUGUGCUGCGUUUGAUCUCUGCAUCCACUUCUGCUGUGUCUGAGUGGAAGCAGCAGGUGUGUGUCCUGGAGGAGCCUGCAUGUGAACUGGGCAGAUGGAUUUGUGGUGGCAUACAACUUCACUGACCGACUGUCCUUCCUGCACACCAGAAGCAUCAUGCGGCAGAUCAAAGAGAGCUGUGAGGGACUGGUGGAUGUCCCGGGGGCCGAUCCUCAGGCUCAGGAAGACUACUGCCUCUUCCUGGAAGGGUCUGCAGCUGAGGACUACUUGUGAUGUUCAACCUCUCCACAAAACUGAUUUGUCACGUGAUGGAGAACCUGAAGCACCGUGCAGACGAUGCAAUGGCUCCAAGUCCAUGGAAAAACUCACCAAUAUGGUUGGCAAAAGACGGAAGUCAGUCUGAUGGAGGAAAUCUGUGGCUACUAAUUAUAAUGCAUGUAACUAAACUGUUUGUUUGGAUACCCCAGGCAUUUUCUAUUGGUCAACAAAUAUGUGGACCAAUACCAAAAUACCAUUUUUAAUGAAAUUGAAUGACAUCUCACAUUUGGAAAAUGAUGAUACAUAAUUUCAACUUUCAGUUUUUGUUUUGUCCUCAGAGGGCAAUUGGAUUUACAGCAAGAUGUACUACAAUACAUGAAAAAGCAUAGGCAUACAGUACAGUAAGGGGAAGGGGAGAUGUCCUGAAUACAAGUGGGCUAGAAAUCCAACACUAGUCACUUGUGUCCGACUCACAUUUUCACAGUGGCAAAAGCACAGCAGCAAUAACAUUAGCAUUAUACCUCCAAAACCCCCUUUUCCAUUGAAAUUUCAAUGUUCUUCUUAAGGAUAUAAAUCCAAAAUUAGGCUCUCAAAAACUGUCAAGAUCAAAUGUUUCAGUUCAGUUGGUAUGAAGACAAUUUGAUAUCUCCCUAUCAAAUUGAAUCAAAUGAAACACUGUGGGAUCAAAAGCCAAAUGUCAAUGAUUUCACAGCAUGUAAUAUUUCUCUGUUGUAAUUAUGAUUUCUGAAACACUCAAAGGUCAGUGUUUGAGAUAAAAUGUAGAUUUCAUGGUACAAACAGGUGGCAGGUGGUAUGCUCGUAUUCAUAAUUUUGGCAGCGAGCAACAUUGUUUUUGCUGUUUGCUCUGUUUUUUUUGUACGUUUCAUAACUUUCUUAAAAGGUUGUAAUCGGAAGUACUCUCACAAAUAAAUAAUUUUGCAAUUUGCAGUUAGUAGCCUAAUUACAGCAUGCAACAUGCUUUGUUUGUUAAUGUAGAAAAAAAGGGAAGCUGUAUCCAGUAGGCCUACUGGAAAGCAGAUGUUAGUCUAGUAGACUUUAAUUAAAAUAUGGUUUUCUAUGGUGCAGUUAAAUGUCAUGCCAAGAUUAAAAUCCAGGCUGCCCAAAUAAGAGUUAUGGUUGAAGAUCUACAUAGCCCCCUUCUACUAAUCACUUUAAAUUGCAUGCAAACAGCUCAAUUUUAACCUAAAUGGAGCUGG